rnacentral:rRNA from 1 species
CACUCCUGCGGGAGGCAGCAGUGGGGAAUUUUGGACAAUGGGCGAAAGCCUGAUCCAGCCAUGCCGCGUGCAGGAUGAAGGCCUUCGGGUUGUAAACUGCUUUUGUACGGAACGAAACGGCCUUUUCUAAUAAAGAGGGCUAAUGACGGUACCGUAAGAAUAAGCACCGGCUAACUACGUGCCAGCAGCCGCGGUAAUACGUAGGGUGCAAGCGUUAAUCGGAAUUACUGGGCGUAAAGCGUGCGCAGGCGGUUAGGUAAGACAGUUGUGAAAUCCCCGGGCUCAACCUGGGAACUGCAUCGGGGACUGCAUAGCUAGAGUACGGUAGAGGGGGAUGGAAUUCCGCGUGUAGCAGUGAAAUGCGUAGAUAUGCGGAGGAACACCGAUGUCGAAGGCAAUCCCCUGGACCUGUACUGACGCUCAUGCACGAAAGCGUGGGGAGCAAACAGGAUUAGAUACCCCGGUAGUCCCAUGA